GACGAACGCUGGCGGCGUGCUUAACACAUGCAAGUCGAACGGUAAGGCCCUUCGGGGUACACGAGUGGCGAACGGGUGAGUAACACGUGGGUGAUCUGCCCUGCACUUCGGGAUAAGCCUGGGAAACUGGGUCUAAUACCGGAUAGGACCACUGCCUGCAUGGGUGGUGGUGGAAAGCUUUUGCGGUGUGGGGUGGGCGCGCGGCCUAUCAGCUUGUUGGUGGGGUGGUGGCCUACCAAGGCGACGACGGGUAGCCGGCCUGAGAGGGUGACCGGCCACACUGGGAGUGAGAUACGGCCCAGACUCCUACGGGAGGCAGCAGUGGGGAAUAUUGCACAAUGGGCGCAAGCCUGAUGCAGCGACGCCGCGUGAGGGAUGACGGCCUUCGGGUUGUAAACCUCUUUCAGCACCGACGAAGCGCAAGUGACGGUAGGUGCAGAAGAAGGACCGGCCAACUACGUGCCAGCCGCCGCGGUAA
rnacentral:rRNA from 1 species